GUGCUCCCUUUGGCAGCAGAUAACUAAAAUUGGAAUGAUACAGAGAAUAUUACCAUGGCCCCUGCACAAAGAUGAAGGGCAAAUUCAUGAAGCAUUCCAUAGGUUA
rnacentral:snRNA from 1 species